UACGUAGGGUGCAAGCGUUGUCCGGAAUUAUUGGGCGUAAAGAGCUCGUAGGCGGUUUGUCGCGUCUGCUGUGAAAAUCCGAGGCUCAACCUCGGACCUGCAGUGGGUACGGGCAAACUAGAGUGCGGUAGGGGAGAAGGGAAUUCCUGGUGUAGCGGUGGAAUGCGCAGAUAUCAGGAGGAACACCGAUGGCGAAGGCACUUCUCUGGGCCGUAACUGACGCUGAGGAGCGAAAGCGUGGGGAGCGAACAGG
rnacentral:rRNA from 1 species